CUGGAUUUGAGAAGCGCUGCAAUAGGAAGCAGAGAGAAAGCAAAACCCAAGGCAUUUGCCAAAACUCAGAAAUCCACGGAAUUUCUCAAGAUAUUAGGGACAGACGACAACUGCGGGGAUUGUGGAUCCUCACUUUGGGGGCUGGCCAAUAGAACUAGUGGUGGCACGGCCGACACUGUGAGAUGCGCCGUUGGGGUGGUGAUGCUGGUGCUGGAGCUGGACCCUCAAGACGGCGUCUCUUGGGUGGCCUCGUUGCCACAGUAAGCGAGCCCUGUGAUGGGCGCCUUAGUGUUGGUGGAUUUGCCGAAGAAGAACCUGUGUGAUAAGAUAAACAUUAACAUUUUGUGUCUCAAUGUGUUUGCAGAAUAUGUGUAUAUAGUUAAAUCUUACCGGCAUUGCCACCAUCUGCAUCUCUCGGCAGUGUUGGCUGUGGCCUGGCUGUGCUGCUUCUCUGGCGUACUGUAGAAAUAUGAAGAAUGUCCUUAUGAACAUACUAUUUUGGUGAUAUGUUUUUGCAAAUUCCUUAUUGUGAUGUAAACAUAUGUGGUACCUGAUGAGAAUUAAACUAAACGAUGCUUAUGCUUUUCUGCCUGA